GGCUGUCGUCAGCUCGUGUCGUGAGAUGUUGGGUUAAGUCCCGCAACGAGCGCAACCCUCGCCCUUAGUUGCCAGCAUUAGUUGGGCACUCUAGGGGACUGCCGGUGAUAAGCCGAGAGGAAGGUGGGGAUGACGUCAAGUCCUCAUGGCCCUUACGGGCUGGGCUACACACGUGCUACAAUGGUGGUGACAGUGGGCAGCGAGCACGCGAGUGUGAGCUAAUCUCCAAAAGCCAUCUCAGUUCGGAUUGCACUCUGCAACUCGAGUGCAUGAAGUUGGAAUCGCUAGUAAUCGCGGAUCAGCAUGCCGCGGUGAAUACGUUCCCGGGCCUU
rnacentral:rRNA from 1 species